CGUGCUUAACACAUGCAAGUCGAACGGUGAAAGAGAGCUUGCUCUCUGGAUCAGUGGCGAACGGGUGAGUAACACGUGAGCAAUCUGCCCUUGACUCUGGGAUAAGCGCUGGAAACGGCGUCUAAUACCGGAUACGAGCUGUGAAGGCAUCUUCAACAGCUGGAAAGAACUUCGGUCAAGGAUGAGCUCGCGGCCUAUCAGCUAGUUGGUGAGGUAAUGGCUCACCAAGGCGUCGACGGGUAGCCGGCCUGAGAGGGUGACCGGCCACACUGGGACUGAGACACGGCCCAGACUCCUACGGGAGGCAGCAGUGGGGAAUAUUGCACAAUGGGCGCAAGCCUGAUGCAGCAACGCCGCGUGAGGGACGACGGCCUUCGGGUUGUAAACCUCUUUUAGCAGGGAAGAAGCGAAAGUGACGGUACCUGCAGAAAAAGCACCGGCUAACUACGUGCCAGCAGCCGCGGUAAUACGUAGGGUGCAAGCGUUAUCCGGAAUUAUUGGGCGUAAAGAGCUCGUAGGCGGUUUGUCGCGUCUGCUGUGAAAACUGGGGGCUCAACCCCCAGCCUGCAGUGGGUACGGGCAGACUAGAGUGCGGUAGGGGAGAUUGGAAUUCCUGGUGUAGCGGUGGAAUGCGCAGAUAUCAGGAGGAACACCGAUGGCGAAGGCAGAUCUCUGGGCCGUAACUGACGCUGAGGAGCGAAAGGGUGGGGAGCAAACAGGCUUAGAUACCCUGGUAGUCCACCCCGUAAACGUUGGGAACUAGUUGUG
rnacentral:rRNA from 1 species